rnacentral:lncRNA from 1 species
GAAGUUAGUGGCGCUGCUGGGACGGGGAGAAGAGACGCUUCUUCCUCCUGCUGUUCCUUGCCUUCCCGGGAUCAGCCGCGGCGGUGGCCGCGAGUGAUUCGGCAGCGUCUCCGGCUCCGCGUGAGAACCAUGCUGACGGACAGUGGGGGCGGCGGCACCUCCUUUGAGGAGGAUUUGGACUCCGUAGCUCCGCGAUCCGCCCCAGCUGGGGCCUCGGAGCCGCCUCCGCCGGGAGGGGUCGGGCUGGGAAUCCGCACCGUGAGGCUUUUUGGGGAGGCUGGGCCCGCGCCGGGAGUCGGUGGCGGCGGCAGCGCGGGCGGAGGGGACGCAGCGCUGGAUUUCAAGUUGGCGGCUGCCGUGCUGAGGACGGGCGGCGGAGGUGGUGCCUCUGGAAGCGACGAGGACGAGGUGUCCGAGGUAUAGCUCCAGGACCCUUGUCUCUAACGUUGCGUGAGACGUGAAUUCUUUGGACCAGCACACGGCUGGUUCACCCUCCCGCUUCCUGGGUGCAAUGUUCUCUGACAGCAGUUGCUUGCAAGGCGACGGUGGCAGCAGUGCGGGCCUAGUGAGCUCUCGGCUUGCUCUUCGGCGCGCGUCAGGAGCGGGACGGAUUCCCGUCACCGUCUGUAGACCCACAAUAGGGAGUUCUUUGGUCUGCGAGCUUCGCGCGGGAACCCAGACUCCGCAGGCUACCUCCCGCCCACCCCGUGUUGGAGAUGGGGGAGGGCGGGGUCUUGUUAGCCAAAGUCCCUGCCCUUGGUACUGAGGGAGCCUGAGAAACUGGCGGACAUGGCUAGCUCAAAAAGGCUGUCUGCUGUUCGCCUCUGCUUUAAGUGUGGCUUUGCCUGUGCAUUUAAGUAGAGCAGUUCUUAUUUUCUUUUAGUUUGAAGCAGAUGAGUAUUAAGUUCUCAGCUUUUACUCCGAAAAAUCACGUGACCGAUUCUUGGACGUUUUAUGAAGUUAGACAGGAAAAGGAAGUUCCAAGGCAUCUUUGAGCUUCGGAAUAACUGGAUAGUUGAACGCUGAGGUUUUUAGCCUUUGAGAUGAGGCAUCCUGCAGACUCCUUUUCUUGUGAAGAAAAUGCGCUGAGCUCCUGCAUUUCUUUUAGCACGUGUGUAUAAUACUGGGUGCACAUUUCAGGUGUGAGCAAUUUAGGACGGUAGGUACUGUUCUUUAGUCUCUUGAAGAAAAGUUGACACAAACACACAUAGUUGUAGAUAUUUGCACACAUACUUGCAAACAUAUGCAUUUACAAGUUAAAUAUUAUUUUCUUUAACAAUGGUCAGGACAGAGAAUUGUACUGUGAUGUUUUAAGUGCUUGGAAUUCUGUUCCUUUUUAAUUUGGCUAUGAUUUGUUGACUUUUAAUUGUUGAGAUUUAGUCUGAGUUGCUGUGUAGAUCAGGGUGGCUGAACUUUUUGUGAUCCUCCUACCUGUAUUUCCUUAGUGCUGGAUUACAGACGUGCACCACCACGGCCUAGCUAACUAUUUCUUCUACAUUGGUCCUAGCAUUUCUGGUUCAUCCCUUGUGACUUUAACCUCUGGUCCUGGUGUUAAAGUACAGGAAUUUCUGUGUACCAAUGAUCUUGGCUUGUGUAUUUGAGAGGAAUAAGGAGAAAUUAUUGCAGAGUACAGUUACAGCACUGUUUUUUCUAGUUCUGAAGAGGAGGUUUUUUUGGAUUCAAUAUUUUACUUUGGGAAAAAAAAAAAACUGUGCAUGUUACCUAUCCACAUUUUUGAAUUUCCCUGUAAAAAAAAAAUAAAUUCUAGGCCAAGAUGAGAGAAGAAUUUU